UCUUUCUUCUAGUCUCUCUGAUGUACAUCCACGCUACAGUUUUAUCUUUCUUCUAGUCUCUCUGAUGUACAUCCACGCUAGCUACAGUUUUAUCUUUCUUCUAGUCUCUCUGAUGUACAUCCACGCUACAA
rnacentral:sRNA from 1 species